UGGGGAAUAUUGGUCAAUGGGGGCAACCCUGAACCAGCAACGCCGCGUGAAGGAUGAAGGUCUUCGGAUUGUAAACUUUUGUCGUAUAGGACGAAGAAUGACGGUACUAUACAAGAAAGCCACGGCUAACUACGUGCCAGCAGCCGCGGUAAUACGUAGGUGGCGAGCGUUGUCCGGAUUUACUGGGUGUAAAGGGCGCGUAGGCGGGUUUGCAAGUCAGAUGUGAAAUCCCGAGGCUUAACUUCGGAACUGCAUUUGAAACUGCAGAUCUUGAGUGCGGGAGAGGAAAGCGGAAUUCCUAGUGUAGCGGUGAAAUGCGUAGAUAUUAGGAGGAACACCGGUGGCGAAGGCGGCUUUCUGGACCGUAACUGACGCUGAGGCGCGAAAGCGUGGGUAGCAAACAGG
rnacentral:rRNA from 1 species